CAGGAGGUUUUCUGGCCACGGUGAUAGGCGGAAGUGCGGCGGUGUCGAAGUUCGACGAGAGAUUGCUGCUCGCCGACCGUCGCACACGCCCGAGAUGAUGGACGAGCACCCCCGCGGCUGCCUAAGGAAGCUCCCAGACAUGGCCCACAGACCUUCCGAUGGUGUACAGGCGGAAUCGACUGCGGCGCCCGCACCCAAUUUCUCCGUUCAUGCUCCCUUCCACGCGCAAGGAGUCAACUUCGAUCCAUUUGAACCAAGGGCACGGAGUUGCAGCGACAUGGGUCAUAUAUGCCCGAGCGAUACGAGGUGGUUGGAAGGCCAUUGUCGUGCCCGGCUAGAGCGCGUGCAUCCGGCGGGUUGUUGCGGCCAUGGCGGUGGAGUCGAGCAGAGGGGCAGGGUACGGCGGAGGAGCUUUCCAUGGGAACAGGGAGGUUCGACCUUCGAUUUUAUACUCCGGAGACGAGGCUGGCGACCCGGUCUGGAUUGAUGCAAGGUUCACGGCGGCUUUCGGUGGUCAGCGGGGGCGGCCCGGCCUUUAUUGCGCGGCAGCCAAGCUUGCUCCGCAUUCAACUCCGAUUUGGGGGGAAAUCGAUCGGAGGAUACGGUAGCCGCGCGCGCGAUUCGCAUCCGGUGAGCGAGUUGGGAGCCUGGGCCUACCCAUCGGCGACAGCAGCCAACGUGGCGCACCUGCGUAGCGCGACUGGCUCCAACGCCUACUGGGAUGCGCGAUUGACGGAACCAGCAGAAGACCCGGCGCUGGGCUCUCACUCGUCAGGGGCGAAGUCGCCACGCGCGGAGGAUCUGCCAGCGCGCGAGCGAGACAUGCGGGGGAAUGAAGAAGGCCCUGACGGACGGGACCCAGUGACGGUGUAGCAGUGGAGAAGCGAAGGGGGAAAAGUGGGCUGUGCGGAAUAAAAGAGGAGAUGGGCCAAAAUGGACAAAGCCGGCCCAGGCAUAUAGUUUUUCUUUUUUUUCUUAUUUGAAUUCCCUUUUCACUUUUCUUUUCACUUUUAAGUCUCCAAUUUGAAUUCAAACUGUUGUGGCGAAUUUGUAAUCAAAUUUUUGAAUAUAUGAUUUGAAUAAAUUAUUAUGGAAUAACUUUAUUCAUUUAUAAAUUUGUUUUUGGUAUUGUGUAAUAUUUUCUCUUUUCUUCUCUAUUUCAAACCCUAAUUCUCCAUUUAGGUUUAAAACUUCAUCUCAGGUCAUUGUUUUAUUUCUACUAGCAUUAUUAUUGUUAUUUUGUCACAAUAUGCACACAAAAGAAAAUCCGAGCAUGAUGCAUGAUUUAUUUGAGUAGUGUUCUUUUGUUAAUUAUCUAUCUGUGUAAGUGAGGUGUCCACAUGAAAUGAUCGAUAGAGAUGACACACAUAUCUACAAAUGAAUGUAAUAUCUCCUUUUAGAUUUUUCUUACAAAGUGGGUAUUACAAAUCCUACCCCCCUUAAAAAUAAUCUCGUCCUCGAGAUUUAGGAAGAACGAGGGAAAAGAUGGGGAAAUCUAUGUGAAGCUCUUCUUCUCUUUCCCAUGUAGCUUCGACUUCUCCGAGGUGACUCCAUUGAACUUUACACAUUUUUAUCACCUUAUUCCAUGUAACUCGAGUUAAAGUAUCCAAAAUCUUGAUUGGAUACUCCGUAUAAGUCAACUCACCUUGAACACUGAGCUCUUCCAUUGGUAACUGUUCCUCAGGGACACGGAGACACUUCUUCAGUUGAGAUACGUGGAACACAUUAUGCACAUCCGAUAGACUAUCAAGUAGCUCGAGUUGGUAUGCCAUCUCCCCAACUCGCCUAAAGAUCAAGAAUGGUCCAAUAUAGCGAGGGGACAAUUUGCCCUUAACUUUGAAUCUCCUCAUUCCACGAAGUGGUGACACCUUGAGGUACACAUAAUCUCCUUCCUCAAAUUCCAGUGGUCUUCUUCUAUUAUCAUCAUAGCUCUUUUGCCUGGUUUGAGCCACCCUCAAAUUCUCUCGAAUUAUACGGACUUGUUCUUCUGCUUCUUGAAUCAAUUCAGGACCAAAGAACUUUCUUUCUCCAGUCUGAUCCCAAUAUAGAGGAGUCCUGCACUUCCUCCCAUAUAAAGCUUCAAAAGGUGACAUCUUCAGACUGGCCUGAUAGCUACUAUUGUAUGAGAAUUCAGCAUAAGGUAGACUUUUAUCCCAACUUCCUCCAUGCUGAAGGGCACAUGCUCUCAACAUAUCUUCCAAUACUUGAUUGGUCCUUUCAGUCUGUCCAUCAGUCUGAGGGUGAUAAGCUGUACUAAAAUUCAACUUCGUACUCAUAUUCUCAUGAAAGCUUCUCCAAAAUCUUGAGGUAAACUGCGAACCUCGAUCAGACACGAUCUUCUUUGGUACUCCAUGUAAACACACAAUCCGAGCCAUAUAUAACUCUGCUAGCUGAGAACCUUUAUAAGUAGUCUUGACAGGAAUAAAGUGAGCCACUUUGGUCAAUCUAUCCCCAAUCACCCAUAUAGCAUCAUAUCCUUUCUAGGUGCGUGGCAAUAUAGUAAUGAAAUCCAUACCAAUCUCUUCCCACUUCCAUUCGGGUAUCUUCAGUGGAUGCAAUAGUCCAGCUGGCCUCUGAUGUUCAGCCUUAACUCUUUGGCAUACAUCGCACAUAGCCACAUGUGCAGCUACAUCUCUCUUCAAUCCAUACCACCAAUACUUCUGUUUCAAAUUCUGAUACAUCUUGGUGCUACCAGGAUGAAUAGAAUAAUCCGAGUCAUGGACCUCCUUCAAAAUAGUCUCACGAAGGCUUUCAAUAUCCGGAACACACAUCCUGUCCUUGAACCAUACGAUGCCUUGCUCAUAUUCCGUAAAUUCCGGAACUCGACCUUCAGUAAUCAGAUCCUUAAUCUCUUGUAUUUUUGCAUCACCAAUUUGGCCUUUGCGGAUCUCUUGCUCCAAGGUAGGUUCCACAUCAAUAGUAACUCUUUCAGUGUGAGCAACUAUCCCCAGGUUAAGUCUCCUGAAAUUCUCAACAAUCUCAUCGGGUAGCUGGGAAACAAUAGCUGAAUGAACAUGCUCCUUUCGACUCAAGGCAUCUGCAACCAAAUUUGCCUUGCCCGGGUGAUAGUGAAUCUCCAAAUCAUAAUCCUUAAUAAGCUCCAACCAACGGCGUUGCCUAAGGUUGAGAUCAUUCUGAGUGAAUAUAUACUUUAAACUCUUAUGAUCCGUGUACACUUGACACUUGGUUCCCACGACAUAAUGUCUCCAUAUCUUAAGCGCAUGCACAAUGGCUGCCAAUUCUAAGUCAUGAGUGGGGUAAUUCAAUUCAUGUUUCCGUAACUGACGAGAAACAUAUGCAAUCACAUGUCCUUCCUGCAUGAGUACACAUCCCAAGCCUUGGCCACAUGCAUCACAAUAAAUAUCAAAUCCCUUCUGUAGGUCUGGCAUAACCAACACUGGUGGAGACAUCAACCUCUUCUUUAAUUGAUCAAAGCUAUCUUGGCACUUCUCAUCCCACUUGAACUCUCUUCCCUUCUCUAGAAGUGAGGUCAUAGGCUUAGCGAUCUUAGAAAAUCCUCCAAUAAAUCUCCGAUAGUAUCCUGCAAGUCCCAAGAAACUCCGAAUCUCAGUAACUGUAGUGGGUACUCUCAACUCCAUUAUCUCCUUAACCUUGGCAGGAUCCACUGAUAUUCCUCCAUUAGAAAUAAUAUGACCAAGAAAUGACACCUCGCCAAUCCAAAACUCACACUUGCUGAACUUGGCAUAUAGUUGGUUAUCUCGUAGCUUCUGUAGCACCAACCUUAGAUGUUCCUCAUGAUCACUAUCACUCUUGAAAUAGAUAAGAAUAUCGUCGAUGAAAACCACGACGAAUCUAUCCAGAUCAUGAACACUUUAUUCUUUAGAUCCAUAAAAUAGGCUGGUGUUUUAGUUAGUCCAAAUGACAUAACAGUGAACUCAUAUAAUCCAUAUCGAGUCGAGAAUGCUGUCUUGGGAAUAUCCGAUGGUCUAAUCCUCAUCUGAUGGUAACCCGAUCGGAGAUCAAUCUUCGAGAAUACUCUAGCACCUCUCAUCUGAUCAAAUAAAUCCUCAAUAUGGGGCAACAGAUACUUGUUCUUCACAGUAACAUCAUUAAGGGAUCUAUAAUCCACACACAUCCGCUGUGAUCCAUCCUUCUUCUGUACAAACAGAACCGACGCUCCCCAAGGUAAGGAACCCGAACGAAUGUACCCAGCCUCUUGUAAUUCCAUUAAUUGCUUCUUAAGUUCCUUUAGCUCUUCUACGGACAUCAUGUAUGGCUGUUUAGAAACAGGAGCAGUCCUAGGUAAGAGAUCAAUGACUAACUCAACUUCCAUAUCUGGUGGCAUCCCUAAUAACUCCUCUGGAAAGACACUCGAAGAAAAUCCCUAAUCCGCACGGGUGUUGUCACCAUUAAACUUCUCAUCUACUAAAAAUGUCGCUAGUUGGAUGGUGGUUGUUACCACAAUUUCAACUUCAAAUCUUUCUUCUUUGGAACUGGUGAGCUCUACGGUUCCCUUAGCAUGGUGUAUAUACAGACUUUGCCUUUCUUAACCAUAACAUGCCAAGGAUCAAGUCUAUACUGCUCUCUUCUAACAGUAUAGGGGUAGCCCAUUUGGGUUAGAAAUACAGGGUAAGAAAGAAGAAUUGUAGACAAGGCGAGUAAUUACGAGGAAUGUUGCUACGGGGGAUUUAUUAGCUAAGUAGAUUAGUGUGUUAUCCACUAAAGCUAAUUCAUUACCUUAUGUUGGUACAUGCUAAGAUGUCCAUAUAUAAUAUAUCAAUCAAUCAAAGAAGCAAAUCAGACAUUUAACAUCAGAACUAUCAAACAACAUUUUUAAAGAAAAUAGUUUUAAAUUUUGUCUUGGGUUCCCUAUCUCUUAAAAAGAUCAUAGUGGUAGGAUUCCAAUGUGUGAAAUCCAUCUUGUCUUAGAGUAGAAAAGAUAAGAUUAAUCAGAGUAGAGUAGCAAAAGGUGAGACAAGAUCGAGAUGAGAUGAGUAUGGAAUGAAUCAGAGUAAGGUAAGUAGGAAAGGUUUGUCCAUUUCUAUCUAGGUUUCGUCCUACAGUCAACAUUUGCUCUGAUACCACUUCUGUCACACCCGGCUUUAAGGAACAAAGCCAGGUGCAUCUUAUACAUGCGCCAAGAAGACAACAUAUAUAAUAACAGAGUGAAUAGAGAUAAAUGUCACAAAACAUCAGAGUACUUAUUACAUAGCGGAAGACUUAUUACAAAAUAAAAGAAUAAACAUAAAACGAACUAAGGAUCGUCGGCGCCAAUGUCAACUGAGAAACGCCACCUAGAUCAGAUCAUACUCCUCGCCUUGUGGCUCCUCCUGAACCACCUGCUCUUCUCCUGUGGGGGGGUGUGAGACAGCAAGGGUGAGCUCACACAUGAUCAUCGCUCAACAAGUUGUGGGGAAUAAUGUGACAUGAACUCACCAAAGGUGGGAGCUCAUGGAGUGUAAGGCUUAUCAAAGAGAAUGGUUAAAGCUGAGCAUUGCUUUUAAGUAGUUGGUCAAAAUUUUAUUAGCAAUUACUAAGUGUAAGUAAAUACCAACCCAUAAUAAAAUAAUAGAGAACAAAAUUAAUAAUAAACCCAUGCAAAUGCAAAUGACAAAUUGAGUUUAGGUUCCAUAAUUUAAUCAUCAGAGAGUCCUGAGCUGCUCAUGACCGUGAGCACGGCUAGUAUACCAGUUUUACACUCUGCAGAGGUUGUACCCUUUACCCACAAGUCAUGCUACCCAUCUGCCAAGGGGUCGCGAAUCCCAUACACCUCUACCUAGGAAGCGCGGCAGGGCAACACUACGAGGCCUUUACAAAGUUCCACUAGCUUCCGAAAACCCGCUACAGUUUAUAGGAAGUUCCAAUGCAGGGUUCCUGGCUGACCGCCAUCGCAGCAAAAUCAACCAGGAACCUCCCUACACUGACCACUCCCCUACUGCCCUUGCCCCUUUCGGGUAAGGUAGUCUUCCACUAGCUUUCCUAAUUAGUCAGCCAAGGGCGUCCCAUUAAACCCUUGUGGUGGCACGUGGUUCUCAAGUUAAGCUCUAUGUUCCAAUUAACAUUAAUGAACUUGACAUGAACAUAAAUAAUAACAAAAAUAAUUGGAACAUAGAUAUAGUAAAUGAUUAUCCCAAAACCAUGUAAAGCAAUAGCAAAACUACCCAAGUGAUUUAGGGGUAAACAAGGUAAUGAGAUAAACAAUCUAGGGUGACCUAUUGGGUCCCAUCAAAAUUAACCUAUGCAUGAAUAAGUGACAUUAAAGAACAUUAUUGGGUAAAAAGUGGUCAAGGGCACAACUUGCCUGGCACUUGAGAUUCCAGUUACCAGGGUGAUUCUUCAGAUCCUCGUGACCUCACCGCUAGUCGUAGCAAUACAAACAAACAGUGCAUAGACAAAAUUAACAUCACACCAAACAUAAGAAUAUACUGCAUAAUGAUGAUCUACGUGUUUCUACGAGACUAACGCAACUUGAACGAAUCAAAUCGGAGUUAAAACGGAGGAGUUAUGAAUUUCUAAGGAUUUUAUGUGUUUUUACAAGAUUAAAUAGCAUAUAAAAUUUAAUGUGACUUUCAUGUCAAAACAGUGGCAAUAGGUGAUAAACCACAUUAUUACAAAAUUAUAGAAAUUGGAAUGGGUCAAUUUGGAGUUCAUACGCAUUUUCUAUGAUUUAUACAAAUUCUAGCAAUUGUUUUUAUAUUCAAAAUCUAUUUUUAACUCUAUUCCUCUGAUUUACAAAAUCCCUGGACUGCGCACCGAAUAACCAGAUAACCCAGGGGCUAGACUGCAAGUUUCCCUAGACUCAGUAAACCACGAGUUGGACGGCGGGUUCAUUACUUGAUUUUGCAGGGGUUCAUAGGCUAAACUGUCAUGGCGAAGGGGGUAUGGGCGGCCCUGGUCCGCCCGAUCGAGAACCGACAGCGGUGAUUAGAUUUAUAUCUUAUCGAAUCGUUACGAACCGAGAGCUAUUGGAUCUAGAUCCAACAGCCCACAUCCUACGAUCCCGAGAUCUGACCCCAACCCUCCGAUCACAAUCCUGCUGUCGUGGUGGAUCUACCGAAGGAAUACGCGCGUCGUCUAAUCCCUGCCCUUCCCCACAGAUCUAACAGUCACCGAUUCGUCACCUUCCUUCCAGUGAACCGCGGCAACACCGACCGCACAACGGCGGCGACCUCGCCGUCGAGCACCCCAGCCGAGUGCAAAUCCCCGAUUUCGGACGCACAAUACGUUGACUAGAAUAGUACGAGUACUAAUGAGGGUUGCAUACCGAGGAUUAUCGCAGGAGGUUUUCUGGCCACGGUGAUAGGCGGAAGUGCGGCGGUGUCGAAGUUCGACGAGAGAUUGCUGCUCACCGACCGUCGCACAUGCCCGAGAUGAUGGACGAGCACCCCCGCGGCUGCCUAAGGAAGCUCCCAGACAUGGCCCACAGACCUUCCGAUGGUGUACAGGCGGAAUCGACUGCGGCGCCCGCACCCAAUUUCUCCGUUCAUGCUCCCUUCCACGCGCAAGGAGUCAACUUCGAUCCAUUUGAACCAAGGGCACGGAGUUGCAGCGACAUGGGUCAUAUAUGCCCGAGCGAUACGAGGUGGUUGGAAGGCCAUUGUCGUGCCCGGCUAGAGCGCGCGCAUCCGGCGGGUUGUUGCGGCCAUGGCGGUGGAGUCGAGCAGAGGGGCAGGGUACGGCGGAGG
rnacentral:lncRNA from 1 species